AUGGAUUGGAGCUGGAUCACUCUCUUCCUCAUGUCAGUAACUACAGGUGUCCGCUCCCAGGUACAGCUGCAGCAGUCUGGGCCUGAGCUUGUGAGGCCUGGGACCUCAGUGAAAUUGUCCUGCAGGGUCUCUGAUGAUAUUACUAAAUACUAUAUUCACUGGGUGAAGGAGGGGACUGGACAGGUCCUGGAAUGGAUUGGAGAUAUUGAUCCUGAUGAUGUUGAUGAUACUGACUAUGCUCAGAAGUUCCAGGGCAAGGCCACACUGACUGCAGACACAUCCUCCAACACAGCCUACAUGGAGCUCAGAAGCCUGACAUCUGAAGACUCUGCCAUCUAUUACUGUGCAACACACAGUAUUGCAACCACAUCCUGA